rnacentral:lncRNA from 1 species
AAAAACUAACCACUUUACAUAAAGAUGGGAUAGCGGUCUGUACACUUGUCACUCGCUGUGUACAAAGUACGCAACAUUAGCAUGUGAAUCUAGUGAGGACCAUUUUACGGUGUAAAUACAUAGAGUAGAUGUGAUGUUUAGGCGUGUAAAUAUACUUGUGUGUAAAUGUAUUCUCUCCUGACAUGCUGUACAAACUUUAACUGGCAAUGACAUAACAUGUCUGUAGGUUGAUAAUUGUGCAGUCAAUCUUAUAGACACAUUAUCCCUUAUAAUGUGUUCCAUUCAAUAGAUGCCAGCCAGAAGUACAAAUUACUUUUAGCUACAUGAUGACUGUGUAUACUUCGGACAUGUUGAGGAAGCCCGCCACUGCAGCAGUCAAGGGGACAUAACUCAUAUAAAAGGAGAACAAUUGAUAGUUACAACACGUAGUGAACCUGCCGCAGUCACCUGGAACAAUAGUAGAAGUCGACUUUGUGUCUACAUUGCUGACGCGCGUGUCGGCGCCCACUUCCACCUGACGUGAAUGAGGCGAUUGUUGACACUGGUUUGAUGGGCCUACAUGAAAACUGUCCGUGACUGCUCGUGGAGGAAACUCGCCAGACUGUAUGAUCUAAGCGCUACUGGUGAUAACAUCGUGGUCGUACGAAAUGUUACAACCUACCAAUUAUACUACGCCCGCCGAACCGCAAGCACAAGAACAAAACCCUAAUUAAAUCUAUGUGCUGAUUCCAAUGUUACUUCUUCUAAAAAGGCGUACUCGAUUGGCAUGCAUUUGUUUACAAACGUUACCAACAGUCGUAGCAUUAGUAAUUUUGGUGCAAGAAAUCUACGCUGUCGAUCGUGAUAAUUUUAUCUGUCACCUGAUUACUGAAGAGUCUGAUUCAAACUGUGAUGGCUAUCAUUUAAAGAAAUCUCCGGCACCAGUGCGUUCUAAAGACUUACAGAUUAAACAACAAAUAAACAUAUCCUUUAACCAAUAGCAAUUUUCCUGACAACAUCAACUCCAAGUUUCCGUAGUAAUUACUGGUAAACGUGUUUUGACAUAUGUACUGUGUCGAUUUUAUGACAGAUCGAAUUCUGGUCGCUACAAUGGUAACGUAGAUAAUACGGAUUGAUACCUGGUGAUAAAGGGACACAACCCAGUGACUAACACACAUAUCAGCAUGGAUAGAGCACCUUCGGCACACGAUCUGAGGAUGUCUGUACAAGAUUGCUAUCUGUAAGGCAGCAAGAAGGAUGGUAGAAGGUGAAUACAACUCCCCCUGGUGGAGAAAUAAUACCAUGUCAGAUAAGCCUCGUGAUGUCAAACCAAGCAAAGUCCACCAAAAGAAACCGUAAAAAGUCAGUCAAUGAACCGGCAACUGUCAAAGAAAAAAUGUAAAUCUGGCAUCUAUUGAGCGAUGGUUUGUCAAAAGACACCUAACGACCCUCCAAGAUGGAAUUACAGAGCUAUGUGCCAAUGUAGAAGUUACGAUAAUGCAAAGAAUACAAACGUCAAGCACCAUUUCUCCAACAAGUGUAAUUCAACACUAGUAAAGUAGCCCCAAAUCGCUACUUUUAAAUUAUCUGUUUACAAUUGUUUCUCUUCAAACUGCCACUUUUUUUUUAUUCUUUAGGCAAUUAUCUAUAGAAAAUGUGGCCACUAGAUCGUACAAUGAUGGUGUUUACUCCUCCGCUAUAUUCAAAACUGCCAUAUAAAUAGAAAUAGAUACUUACUGUUUCGCCUGGGU